rnacentral:rRNA from 1 species
GUAGGUGGCAAGCGUUGUCCGGAAUUAUUGGGCGUAAAGCGCGCGCAGGUGGUUCUUUAAGUCUGAUGUGAAAGCCCCCCGGCUCAACCGGGGAGGGUCAUUGGAAACUGGGGGAACUUGAGUGCAGGAGAGGAAAGUGGAAUUCCACGUGUAGCGGUGAAAUGCGUAGAUAUGUGGAGGAACACCAGUGGCGAAGGCGACUUUCUGGCCUGUAACUGACACUGAGGCGCGAAAGCGUGGGGAGCAAACAGGGAUUAGAUACCCUGGUAGUCCACGCCGUAAACGAUGAGUGCUAAGUGUUGGGGGGGUUUCCCGCCCCUCAGUGCUGCAGCUAACGCACUAAGCACUCGCCUGGGGAGUACGGUCGCAAGACUG